rnacentral:rRNA from 1 species
AGCUCCAAUAGCGUAUAUUAAAGUUGUUGCAGUUAAAAAGCUCGUAGUUGAAUUUCUGUCACAUGUGAGCCAGCACGCUAACAGUGUUGCUCGGUUUGCAUUGAUAUCUUUCGGGUUGCGUCGACGACUUCACUGCCGUCGGCGAUAUCCUGGACCGUUACUUUGAGAAAAUUAGAGUGUUUCAAGCAGGCAUUUGCCUUGAAUACUGCAGCAUGGAAUAAUAAGAUAGGACUUUGGUUCUUUCUUGUUGGUUCGAAGGACUAAGGUAAUGAUUAACAGGGACAGUCGGGGGCAUUCGUAUUCAACUGUCAGAGGUGAAAUUCUUAGAUUUGUUGAAGACGAACUACUGCGAAAGCAUUUGCCAAGGAUGUUCCCA